UACGUAGGGUGCAAGCGUUAAUCGGAAUUACUGGGCGUAAAGCGUGCGCAGGCGGUUAUGUAAGACAGGUGUGAAAUCCCCGGGCUUAACCUGGGAACUGCAUUUGUGACUGCAUAGCUAGAGUACGGUAGAGGGGGAUGGAAUUCCGCGUGUAGCAGUGAAAUGCGUAGAUAUGCGGAGGAACACCGAUGGCGAAGGCAAUCCCCUGGACCUGUACUGACGCUCAUGCACGAAAGCGCGGGGAGCAAACAGG
rnacentral:rRNA from 1 species